AGAGGCAAGUAAGAAGACACAUCAGGGCUGGGGCCUGGCUGUCCCUUCCCAAAGCCAGCUGCUCUCACAGAAGACCCAUGGUAUUCAGUGGAGGGUAUAUCUUUCUGUAUGGAGAUUGCUGUGUCCCGGUAUGGUGAGUCUAUGUGGUGUUUCCCGUUUGCUCGUCCCCUCCUGAAUUUCUGUCCACUGACUUCUCAUUGGAAUUUGCUAUUGGGAACCCCACUUAAAAAUGGACAGCAAGAGAUUAGGAUCACUGUGUUCAGUCCUCAUGUCCCACCCCCAUUAGGAGGCCCCAGCCUUGGCCAUCUCAGAUUCUUCAAGACAAGCCAUCUCUAUAUGCCCUUUCUUCCCAGUUCAAUAUCUACUUCCCUUAUCCUUCUGCUAGGGUCUGAGCAGCUAUGAAUCCCCUCGCCAGCUACGGAGUCAUCCAGCACCCUUCUGCUUGAGGUAUUGUAAUGAGUGAGACAACUGGUCCUGUUGGGACCCUCACUGUGUCACACACAUGCCCUCACCACACCAAGCUGAGCUGUCGUGAAGUGAUCUCUCCUCCCUCACGUCAGGAAGUGCCACAAGUCCACAGCCACCAUGGCAAAGAGUCCUUCCACAGCCCAGCCUUGCACCCUGCACCCAGUGUCGGAAAACCCUGAGGAACCUGUCACCAAGUGGCCAAUGACUAAGAUCCCUGCUUCCCCAGAAGGAGCUAGAAACACCUGCCACAUGGUUGUUCUCAAACUCACCAUUCUCAAGUCUGUCUGCUGACCUGCAGCCAUCGUCAUGUCACCUGGGUUAGGUGUGAACAGGUUAUUUCACCAUUGCAAGUCCCUCUUCCUCCUCCUUGCAAUGUAGACAUGCAGGGCAGGGACUUUUCACAACUGUCUCCCAGGGCCAAGCCCAGUGCUCAGACAUGGUAGUUUUGAGUAAGUACCUGUUGUCUGACAACAGACCAAUGACUAGCCUCGGGUCAUCUGUUAGCCAUCUUCCUUCUUCCCCAAAAUGAGGCAGGACCCCAUGAGGCCAGGAGCCUUCAAGUUCCAUAUCUCCAUCUCCAGCCCACUGGGAAGCAUCCUUUAGCACUGCAGCUACUCCCAGUGGCUGUUUCUGGACCAACUAUUUCCUCUUCUACAGGCUUCUAAGGGCCUUGCCUCGUUAGCAUCUGUUUAUCAGAACUGACCACAUGAAUUCACCUCUUGAUUUAAUAGUAAGCCUUAAUUUAUGCUAAAUGUUUACAAAGCAACUUUUUAAAGCCGGUGUGGUGGAUCAUGGCUGUAAUCCCAGCAGUUGGGAGGCUGUGGUCGACAGAGGGUGGCCAUGAACCCCAGGUCACACAGGACUGCAGAGUGAGGCACUGUCUCAAAAGAAGAAAAAUAAUCCGCUUCCCAGAUUUCCUGCCUACAAAACUGUGAAUAAACUCCCAGCAGGAUUUGACCCACUUCCUGUUCCUUGGGCAAGUGAUUGGUUUGUUUGUUGGGCCCCAUUACCUCCCUGUGAGGGUAAGUCCAUGCAUCAUACAUGAACUUCAUUAGUUAUUUUUCUACAAAACAAGGUGGGGCUCUUAGAGACAUGACCCAGUCACUGAUGCUUUCGACCUCGACCACUACCGGCCAAAUAUGGGAGUAACCUGAUUGCUGAAAAUUUAAUGUUUUCUUCCAGGCCCUAGAUGCCAACCCCCCUGCACCCCCUUUCCACCUCCCACUUGGAUAAUUAGCAAAGAGCUGAACCUCCCAAAUCUCUCUAGGGGAGCUUUUCCACCCUAGGCUAAUAAUUUCAUGAACAGAAUGAAGGUUGGUUAGAAGAAUAUUCUCUGAAAUGUCUGACCUUACUCUACGCUGUCCUUUCCCAGGGACUUGCUAACCCACCCUCUACAGGCUCCCUCGACACAGAGUCCACAGUCGCCUGAGGCUUCUCUCUAAUCUGAGUGACAUCUUGUGAUUAGCACCACUCACAGCUCGGCCUAUCACAUGGCAUGGCUUGCUGUACCAUCACCUUCAAUAUUAGCUACCUCUGGAGUGCCAGCCUGGGUGGCAUGUUGGGGCAGGCCCAGAAUGAACCCUGGAGAACCAGAGAAACAAAACACCUCCUUCAAAAGCAGACAGCUUCACCCACCGGCUCUCAGAGCAUGUCUGUAGGGCGUCCAACCUUGCUACACAUUGUCUCGCUCACCUCGGACGCUUGCAGGACCUGACGAAAGCCUCCAUUACCACCCCUGAAGAUUGCACAAUCAACGCUAUGUAGAUAAUGCUGACAAGUUCUUCAGCCAGCUCAAUAUUGUCUGGUGUGUCUGAAGACAACUACAGUGUACUUACAUAUAAUAAAUAAAUACAUCUUUAAAAGAAUAUUUUCCUAAUCCCAUUAUCCUAAUGUUACAGGUCAGGAAGUUGAAUUCAGAGGCUAAUAGCUUGCUCAGAGAUGCAUAGCUAUAAGCACUGAGCUAGACCUGCUUUCUCCUACAUGCUUGCAGCAGAACUUACCUCCAAUUAAUUUCAAUAUUAAUACAACAAGAAGCCUGUGAUUGUACAGUGGAAAAGGAAGGCGGGCAGGGAAUUUUAGAAACAGGAGAGAGAAGACAGAGAGGAGAAGGAAAGAAGAUGGAGGAAGAGAAAGACGAUCCAGAUUCCACGUGGCUUUAAAUAGCCACAGGUAGCUAUGACUAUCUUAUAAGGGAUGGAUAAUUACAGGACAAUUUGUCCAAUCCAGGUGGGCAGUUUAUAUCAAUAUCAAUUGGCUCUGAGUUCAUUGUGUGGGCAUUUUGUGGGGUGAGAGUUACUGACAUAAAUCUGACUUAUAAAUUCCAAGCCUCUAGAGUUUCGACUUUACUGGGUUCCUGGGAUUUGGAAGCAUUGACCACAGGGGUGGAUGGCUCUGCUCACAGGGAAGGUGAGCAGAAUCCGCAGCAAGAGAACCACAAGAUGGGCAGUUGCUGCAUGGGAUUAGCCAUGGAGGCAGCAAGGUCACCCGAGUCAGAGAGUAGCCAGUGAUAGCGCAGGAUGGGGCUUCUUUUUUUUUUUUUUUAAUCUGAACAAACCCUGUAUUCUUUAGACUCUUAUCUCUAAGAUUCCAAACACGUUAUAGCAUUCAACAAAAAUAUUAUAGACAUUUUUCUGCUUUCAUUGUCAAUUUACGGGAUUGUGCUCAAAAAAUAUCCUGAAACAUUUUUAUAAAUCAACUGAGAUAGAACUUAUAUAUGUGUCUGCUUAAACCUUAUUCCCCCAAACCAACGCUAACAGGACCUUAUAGCCAAGAAGUGCUGGCUGUUUUUGUUUUUGAGACACGGUCUUGAUGAUAUAGCCCUGGCUAUCUGGUAACUCUGCAAACCAGACUGACCUUGAACUCCACGACCUGCCUGCCCGUCUCCCAGUGCUGGGGUUAAAGACCUGUACCACGGCAAAGAAUAGCUGGUGUUUUAACAGUCAGAGAUACACAUUAGUUUAACUGGAAGUCUGAACUGGAAGCAACCAUGGCAGUAAGCUGAAAUCUGUCAGCUAAUUUGAUAAAAUAGUUUUUGUCUCAAAAUUAUCAGCCAUUUCUUUUAGCUGAUACUUCUUUUACUAGCUUUAUAAAAAGAAAAUGAACAAUCUAACUUAACUAUAAAGCUGGUUCUCAUUUUUCACACUGUUAUUUUUUAAAUAGUUUUUAACUUAAUUUAUUCACAUUAUAUUUUUAAACUCCACAUUCUUUUCUAUAUAGUUGCAUGUCAAAAAAUACUAAAGAGUUUCACGGUUUGCUGAAAUACAUGUAGGAAAACAUAGAUAUGUGGCAUAAUAGCUUGCUUAAAUUUCUCUUAAAGAAACAUAAUUAAUUUAAAGAGUUCCAACACAUUUUUAAAAAAAAAUUCCAGCAACGAUUAUUUCUGAAAUGUAUAAAAUUUAAAUAAUUAAAAGGUUAAAAACCAAAAUG
ensembl:antisense Gm43257 predicted gene 43257